rnacentral:rRNA from 1 species
AACGAACGCUGGCGGCAUGCCUAACACAUGCAAGUCGAACGAACCCUUCGGGGUUAGUGGCGCACGGGUGCGUAACGCGUGGGGAUCUGCCCAAAGGUUCGGAAUAACUCAGAGAAAUCUGAGCUAAUACCGGAUAAUGUCUUCGGACCAAAGAUUUAUUGCCUUUGGAUGAACCCGCGUAGGAUUAGCUUGUUGGUGGGGUAAAGGCCUACCAAGGCGACGAUCCUUAGCUGGUCUGAGAGGAUGAUCAGCCACACUGGGACUGAGACACGGCCCAGACUCCUACGGGAGGCAGCAGUGGGGAAUAUUGGACAAUGGGCGAAAGCCUGAUCCAGCAAUGCCGCGUGAGUGAUGAAGGCCUUAGGGUUGUAAAGCUCUUUUACCAGGGAUGAUAAUGACAGUACCUGGAGAAUAAGCUCCGGCUAACUCCGUGCCAGCAGCCGCGGUAAAGUCUAGCAU